rnacentral:rRNA from 1 species
UUAAGCGACUAAGCGUACACGGUGGAUGCCCUGGCAGUCAGAGGCGAUGAAGGGCGUGCUAAUCUGCGAUAAGCGCCGGUAAGGUGAUAUGAACCGUUAUAACCGGCGAUACCCGAAUGGGGAAACCCAGUGUGACUCGUCACACUAUCAUUAACUGAAUCCAUAGGUUAAUGAGGCGAACCGGGGGAACUGAAACAUCUAAGUACCCCGAGGAAAAGAAAUCAACCGAGAUUCCCCCAGUAGCGGCGAGCGAACGGGGAGGAGCCCAGAGCCUGAAUCAGCAUGUGUGUUAGUGGAAGCGUCUGGAAAGGCGCGCGAUACAGGGUGACAGCCCCGUACACAAAAGCGCAUGUGCUGUGAGCUCGAUGAGUAGGGCGGGACACGUGGUAUCCUGUCUGAAUAUGGGGGGACCAUCCUCCAAGGCUAAAUACUCCUGACUGACCGAUAGUGAACCAGUACCGUGAGGGAAAGGCGAAAAGAACCCCGGCGAGGGGAGUGAAAAAGAACCUGAAACCGUGUACGUACAAGCAGUGGGAGCCCCACCACUAAGCCAGUGGUGAACUCCACAUACGCAUCCUUUGCUGAGGAUACGGUUAACGGAGCGAAAGCGACGUUCAACCUCAAAAGAAGCAGAGGGGGCUUAGUGGUGGGGUGACUGCGUACCUUUUGUAUAAUGGGUCAGCGACUUAUAUUCUGUAGCAAGGUUAACCGAAUAGGGGAGCCGGAGGGAAACCGAGUCUUAAUUGGGCGUUAAGUUGCAGGGUAUAGACCCGAAACCCGGUGAUCUAGCCAUGGGCAGGUUGAAGGUUGGGUAACACUAACUGGAGGACCGAACCGACUAAUGUUGAAAAAUUAGCGGAUGACCUGUGGCUGGGGGUGAAAGGCCAAUCAAACCGGGAGAUAGCUGGUUCUCCCCGAAAGCUAUUUAGGUAGCGCCUCGUGAACUCAUCUCCGGGGGUAGAGCACUGUUUCGGCUAGGGGGCCAUCCCGGCUUACCAACCCGAUGCAAACUGCGAAUACCGGAGAAUGUUAUCACGGGAGACACACGGCGGGUGCUAACGUCCGUCGUGAAGAGGGAAACAACCCAGACCGCCAGCUAAGGUCCCAAAGUCAUGGUUAAGUGGGAAACGAUGUGGGAAGGCCCAGACAGCCAGGAUGUUGGCUUAGAAGCAGCCAUCAUUUAAAGAAAGCGUAAUAGCUCACUGGUCGAGUCGGCCUGCGCGGAAGAUGUAACGGGGCUAAACCAUGCACCGAAGCUGCGGCAGCGACGCUGAUGCGUUGUUGGGUAGGGGAGCGUUCUGUAAGCCUGCGAAGGUGUGUCGUGAGGCAUGCUGGAGGUAUCAGAAGUGCGAAUGCUGACAUAAGUAACGAUAAAGCGGGUGAAAAGCCCGCUCGCCGGAAGACCAAGGGUUCCUGUCCAACGUUAAUCGGGGCAGGGUGAGUCGACCCCUAAGGCGAGGCCGAAAGGCGUAGUCGAUGGGAAACGGGUUAAUAUUCCCGUACUUGGUGUUACUGCGAAGGGGGGACGGAGAAGGCUAUGUUGGCCGGGCGACGGUUGUCCCGGUUUAAGCGUGUAGGCUGGUUUUCCAGGCAAAUCCGGAAAAUCAAGGCUGAGGCGUGACGACGAGGCACUACGGUGCUGAAGCAACAAAUGCCCUGCUUCCAGGAAAAGCCUCUAAGCAUCAGGUAACAUCAAAUCGUACCCCAAACCGACACAGGUGGUCAGGUAGAGAAUACCAAGGCGCUUGAGAGAACUCGGGUGAAGGAACUAGGCAAAAUGGUGCCGUAACUUCGGGAGAAGGCACGCUGACAUGUAGGUGAAGUGAUUUACUCAUGGAGCUGAAGUCAGUCGAAGAUACCAGCUGGCUGCAACUGUUUAUUAAAAACACAGCACUGUGCAAACACGAAAGUGGACGUAUACGGUGUGACGCCUGCCCGGUGCCGGAAGGUUAAUUGAUGGGGUCAGCGCAAGCGAAGCUCCUGAUCGAAGCCCCGGUAAACGGCGGCCGUAACUAUAACGGUCCUAAGGUAGCGAAAUUCCUUGUCGGGUAAGUUCCGACCUGCACGAAUGGCGUAAUGAUGGCCAGGCUGUCUCCACCCGAGACUCAGUGAAAUUGAACUCGCUGUGAAGAUGCAGUGUACCCGCGGCAAGACGGAAAGACCCCGUGAACCUUUACUAUAGCUUGACACUGAACAUUGAGCCUUGAUGUGUAGGAUAGGUGGGAGGCUUUGAAGCGUGGACGCCAGUCUGCGUGGAGCCGGCCUUGAAAUACCACCCUUUAAUGUUUGAUGUUCUAACGUGGACCCGUGAUCCGGGUUGCGGACAGUGUCUGGUGGGUAGUUUGACUGGGGCGGUCUCCUCCUAAAGAGUAACGGAGGAGCACGAAGGUUGGCUAAUCCUGGUCGGACAUCAGGAGGUUAGUGCAAUGGCAUAAGCCAGCUUGACUGCGAGCGUGACGGCGCGAGCAGGUGCGAAAGCAGGUCAUAGUGAUCCGGUGGUUCUGAAUGGAAGGGCCAUCGCUCAACGGAUAAAAGGUACUCCGGGGAUAACAGGCUGAUACCGCCCAAGAGUUCAUAUCGACGGCGGUGUUUGGCACCUCGAUGUCGGCUCAUCACAUCCUGGGGCUGAAGUAGGUCCCAAGGGUAUGGCUGUUCGCCAUUUAAAGUGGUACGCGAGCUGGGUUUAGAACGUCGUGAGACAGUUCGGUCCCUAUCUGCCGUGGGCGCUGGAGAACUGAGGGGGGCUGCUCCUAGUACGAGAGGACCGGAGUGGACGCAUCACUGGUGUUCGGGUUGUCAUGCCAAUGGCACUGCCCGGUAGCUAAAUGCGGAAGAGAUAAGUGCUGAAAGCAUCUAAGCACGAAACUUGCCCCGAGAUGAGUUCUCCCUGAGACUUAGAGUCUCCUGAAGGAACGUUGAAGACGACGACGUUGAUAGGCCGGGUGUGUAAGCGCAGCGAUGCGUUGAGCUAACCGGUACUAAUGAACCGUGAGGCUUAACCUU